rnacentral:rRNA from 1 species
AACGAACGCUGGCGGCAGGCUUAACACAUGCAAGUCGAACGGUUGUAGCAAUACAGCAGUGGCGCACGGGUGAGUAACGCGUGGAUAUCUGCCUUUUGGUUCGGAAUAACUCCGGGAAACUGGAGCUAAUACCGGAUGGUUCCUACGGGAUAAAGAUUUAUCGCCAAAAGAUGAGUCCGCGUACGAUUAGCUAGUUGGUGGGGUAAUGGCCCACCAAGGCGACGAUCGUUAGCUGGUCUGAGAGGACGAUCAGCCACACUGGGACUGAGACACGGCCCAGACUCCUACGGGAGGCAGCAGUGGGGAAUAUUGGACAAUGGGGGCAACCCUGAUCCAGCCAUGCCACGUGGGUGAUGAAGGCCUUCGGGUUGUAAAGCUCUUUUGGCGGGGACGAUGAUGACGGUACCCGCAGAAUAAGCCCCGGCUAACUUCGUGCCAGCAGCCGCCGUAA